rnacentral:rRNA from 1 species
GUCUACGUCCCAUACCACCCUGAAAGUGCCUGGUCUUGUCUGAUCUCAGAAGCUAAGCAGGGUUGGGGCCAGGUUAGGACUUGGAUGGGAGAAGAUGCCCUGAUCACCAGUUUCAAUGAGCAUAGGAGGCGUGGGAU